UUCUGUUGCUCGAUGCGAGCUUUAUUCAACAGGCACAGCUGCGGACAACUAUCGAGCUCUGAAGGACCCUCCCUUUAUAAAGCUCGGGCAGCCAUUCCACUCUCUCUUUCCUGCCUAACAGUUUGCUGAGCAUCUCCUCCUCAAAUAGUGUUCACAUGGAUCUCGUGGAUGACCGCUUGUGGGUUAAAGAAACGUGUGCAGAAAUGGAUAAGAUAAAAUUUGCCGUGAUGCUCAUCAGUCUAAUUUUGAAUGGUUUGAAGCAAUAGAUUUAAUCGAACCAUCGUAACACAACGUAUUUGUUCAAGGUUGCUCCUGGAUACAAUACACCCCAACCAAUGCUGGACCUUGAGUUGAUGGUGUGUAAUCUUUCAACUAGACUGUCUCUUAAGAGUAAUGCUAGAACUCUGCUGGGUACAAGGUUUGCAACUUCUGAGUUGAUGGUCUCUCAAAUGGUCCGAUGGAAUGCUGUAUAUGGAAGCUCUUGUUGCAGUAAGGAUGCUGCUCCAUUCAAGUGCAAUUAUUAAAAAUUAAAGUACCAAUGAUUGUCACACACACACUAGAUGUGGUGAAAUUUGUGGGGAUCCUAACCUGAUGGCUUUCAGUGGGCAGUUUAUGGAAAAGGUUCUGAAAGGCAUUUGGAGUAUCUACGCUGCAAUCAUCCUUAAAGCUAUUUAUGUUAUCAAAUGUGCUGAAUAAUAAAAAAAAAAAUGGUUGAA